rnacentral:rRNA from 1 species
GUCUAUGGCCAUGACCCCCUGAACGUGUCCGAUCUCGUAUGAUCUCGGAAACUAAGCAGGGUAGAGCCUGAUUUGUACUUGGAUGGGAGACCACCUAGGAAGACCAAGUGCUGUAGGUG